rnacentral:rRNA from 1 species
GCGGCGGACGGGUUAGUAACGCGUGGGAACGUACCCUUUUCUACGGAAUAGCCUCGGGAAACUGAGAGUAAUACCGUAUACGCCCUUUGGGGGAAAGAUUUAUCGGAGAAGGAUCGGCCCGCGUUAGAUUAGAUAGUUGGUGGGGUAAUGGCCUACCAAGUCUACGAUCUAUAGCUGGUUUGAGAGGAUGAUCAGCAACACUGGGACUGAGACACGGCCCAGACUCCUACGGGAGGCAGCAGUGGGGAAUCUUAGACAAUGGGCGCAAGCCUGAUCUAGCCAUGCCGCGUGAGUGAAGAAGGCCUUAGGGUCGUAAAGCUCUUUCGCCUGUGAAGAUAAUGACUGUAGCAGGUAAAGAAACCCCGGCUAACUCCGUGCCAGCAGCCGCGGUAAUACGGAGGGGGUUAGCGUUGUUCGGAAUUACUGGGCGUAAAGCGCGCGUAGGCGGACAUUUAAGUCAGAGGUGAAAUCCCAGGGCUCAACCCUGGAACUGCCUUUGAUACUGGGUGUCUUGAGUUCGAGAGAGGUGAGUGGAAUUCCGAGUGUAGAGGUGAAAUUCGUAGAUAUUCGGAGGAACACCAGUGGCGAAGGCGGCUCACUGGCUCGAUACUGACGCUGAGGUGCGAAAGUGUGGGGAGCAAACAGGAUUAGAUACCCUGGUGGUCCACACCGUAAACGAUGAAUGCCAGUCGUCGGGCAG